rnacentral:sRNA from 1 species
GCUUUUUCUUGGUAAUGGUAACAAAUAUAUAAUGUCUCUAAUUUUUCCUAAAACCAUCUAUAUAUACAUUUUUGCAGUCAUUUUGUGAAAUAAAUCAUGUAGUUGAGACUUAUUUACGAUGGCUGCCACUGGAUUUUAAUGUUUGUUUUUGAUAAUUAUAAAGAAAAUCUUCGAAUUAAAUAUUUGACAUUUAACAAUCUUCCUAAAAUCUCUCCACAUUAACUACACGAUUAUUUACUAAAAUAAAACUUCCAAAAUAUUUAAUAUCAUUUAAUUACAACAAAAUUAUCAUUUUUAAUAUUGCUUUUCUCCAUGACUAUAACAAUUCGAUUAUAAUCAUCAAAGCGUAGAGAUAUAAUUUGAUAGCAUUUAAUUACUACAAAAUUACAAAAUAUUUAGACAAUGAUUCAUAAACAUAUCAUAAAUAAGAUCAACAUUAAUAAAAUAAAUGGGUUUUUUUACGGGACGGGUUUGGCAGGACGUUAUUUAAUAACAUUUGUAAACUAUAAAAUAAAAAUAUUUUAUAGAUAGAUACAAUUUGUAAACUUUUAUAUAUACUAACUUUAAAAAAUAAAUUGUUCCCGCGGUACACCGCGGGUUAAAAUCUAGUAUAGCUACAAUCUUAAAGAAGUGUGAGUACUAUAAAAUCUUCCUUUAGUUUGUGUAUUGUUCAAUGUCCAUGACUCGAAAUGAAUU